UACGGGGGGGGCAAGCGUUGUUCGGAAUUACUGGGCGUAAAGGGCUCGUAGGCGGCCAACUAAGUCAGACGUGAAAUCCCUCGGCUUAACCGGGGAACUGCAUCCGAUACUGGAAGGCUCGAGUUUGGGAGAGGGAUGCGGAAUUCCAGGUGUAGCGGUGAAAUGCGUAGAUAUCUGGAGGAACACCGGUGGCGAAGGCGGCAUCCUGGACCAACACUGACGCUGAGGAGCGAAAGCCAGGGGAGCAAACGGG
rnacentral:rRNA from 1 species